UUUAUUAUGUAUUUUACUUCCUCUUUUAAGUAUAUUUAAUCUUUGGUUUUUUUACUAUAGUAGGUGAGAAAAGUAGCAUUAUGAGAACAGAACAUAUAGCCAUUUCACAGCAAAAUAAAUCAGAUUGUGAAGCUGAAGAUGUCAUUGAAUCCCCUCCUAAGCCUUUUUCCCAAGUCAAGUCCUACCCUCGACCUGUCCAUCCCUCACCUGGCUCCUUUUCAAAACCUUCCCAGAUGACUCCUCCUCUCCUGGGGUUUAAACAGGAAGAAUCAUCGGAGGAGGAAGAUGACAUAGAACAACCGCAAAUUUCAAAUGUUGCAGAUAGAAGUUUGAUUUGUAAUGGCAACCGUGAAGGUCAGAAUUCCUCAGAUACUGCUAUUAGGAAAGAUACAAUGUCAGUAUUAGGAUUGGAAGAGGAGGAGGAUACAGAAUCACCCUGGGAUUCAGAGUGCGCUUCUGAAAGCCCAAGAAAACUACCAGUCAACCUGUUAAUUUCAUCUGCUGUCAGGACUGAAACACACAUGCAGAGUAUUUUUGAGGAACCAAAUGAAGGUUUUUGUGAAAAAACUCUUGAUUCACAGCCAAAGACCACUCAAGCAAUUUUAGAAACAAAUGACACCUCUUCUUGUCCUGCAAAGGGAAUCGAGGUUGGCAAAAGGCAAAAAUCAGGUAAUAUUC
rnacentral:lncRNA from 1 species